GUUUUUCCUCCCCAUACUUAUCCAUCUCUGCAUCUGGGUGCUGUUUGCAGCUGUAGAUUAUCUGCUGUAUCGGCUCAUUUUCUCAGUGAGCAAGCAGUUUCAAAGCUUGCCAGGGUUUGAGGUUCACUUGAAACUGCACGGAGAGAUUCAUUUCUGGCUUCCAGUCCUGAAAAUGAUUAGGAAGAAGCAAAUGGACAUGGCAAGUGCAGACAAGCCAUGAGAGACCCCGACUACUCCUCAGCCACAUCGCACCAACAAUUCUCCUCAGGUCUAGGAUGGCAGUCACUAUUCAUGCCGGAUAAUAGAGAACUAUGUGACGCAGUCCUCUCAGGAGUCUGAGUUUACAGAGCCAACUUGCAGCACCUGGUUAUGCCUCCUUUCAUCUCAAAGCCAAAGAGCUGCCAGGUAAAUGGUUAUGUGGUCUAUGUUCCAAACAAACCACAUGAUCUUGCCUGUGUCACAAUGUAACAAGACUCUAGCUGGGUCCCCUGGUGAUGAGUUUCAGCAUAGAAUAAUGUUCAAGGAAAAGAAAACGAAAACAGUUUAAAUCUCUACCACAGCCUCACAAGCAAAUGCUAAG
rnacentral:sRNA from 1 species